ensembl:rRNA 5S_rRNA 5S ribosomal RNA
UAUAUCUUCCAUAUCGCCCUGCAGCCCAAGACUGGUUGCCCACUGAAGCUAAGCAGGGUUGUGCCUGGUCAGUAACUGGAUGGGAGACCUCCUGGGAAAACUAGGUUGCUGCCGGAA